AUCCACAUGCAUGCCCUCAAAAUAGUUGAAAGCUAUUUAAUAAUGCAUAUGGAAGAACCAGUGACUCCAUAUAUUAUAAGGAUUGUGGUAUGAAGGCCUCCCUGUAUUAAACGAUACUCUUGGAAAUAAAUGUGCAACCUGAAGAACAGCCGGGGAAUUAGCCUAAAAAGGCUAAGAGCUAGCUGGAGAAGAUGACUCAUUAUGUUUACCAACCUCUCUCACACCAAAGAAAGACAACGAGGGUAUAAGUGAGAAAAUUACUGAAGCAUUUUCCAGAGACAAGCUGCUGAUUUUGAAAGAGAGGCAAAAAAACCCCCCAACAAAACAAGUGAACUUCAAUCUCAUUAAGGGAGUUGGCUGAUUGUCUGAAGAAAAUGUAUGUGGAGCUGUGAGUCUGGUGCCUGCUGGAAUAGUUUAAGACUUCAUCCAUAUUAAUAAAAACAUACAAACAC